CAACUACUCCCUCUGUCCCAAAUUUCUUGUCUUAGAUUUGUCUAGAUACAUAUGUAUCUAAUACUAAAAUGUGACUUGAUACAUCCGUAUCUAGACAAAUCCAAGACAAGAAUUUUGGGACGGAGGGAGUACUUU
rnacentral:pre_miRNA from 1 species